rnacentral:rRNA from 1 species
GACGUAGGGGACGAGCGUUGUUCGGAAUCACUGGGCGUAAAGGGCGUGUAGGCGGUCCGCUAAGUCUGAUGUGAAAGCCCGGGGCUCACCCCCGGAAGUGCAUUGGAAACUGGCGGACUCGAGUCCCGGAGAGGAGAGUGGAAUUCCUGGUGUAGCGGUGAAAUGCGUAGAUAUCAGGAGGAACACCGGUGGCGAAGGCGGCUCUCUGGACGGUGACUGACGCUGAGACGCGAAAGCGUGGGGAGCAAACAGG